rnacentral:lncRNA from 1 species
GGCCGGCGUCUACGAGACAACCCAGCACUUCAUGGACAUCAAGGAGCACCUGCACAUCGUGAAGAGAGAUAUCGACAGCCUCGCGCAGCGCAGCAUGUCAUCUAAUGAAAAACCAAAAUGCCCAGAUCUACCAGCAUUCCCGUCGUGUCUGUCCACAGUCCACUUUGUGAUAUUUAUAGUGGUGCAGACGGUGUUGUUCAUUGGCUACAUCAUGUACAGGACUCAGCAAGAAGCAGCUGCCAAAAAAUUCUUCUGACCUUCAUUUUCCUAUGUCUGGGCUAGACUUUCGCUGGCUUCAAGACAAUUUACCUCUUAUUAAAGUAAUGGUCUCGUUUGCUUUGGGAUCCAGAACAA